rnacentral:ncRNA from 1 species
CAGCGGGGAAAGAAGACCCUGUUGAGCUUGACUCUAGUCUGACUCUGUGAAGAGACAUGAGAGGUGUAGCAUAAGUGGGAGGCCGUGAACCCUCGCGGUUGUGUCGUGCCGUCAGUGAAAUACCACUACUUUCAUCGUUUCUUUACUUACUCGGUGAAGCGGAAAGCGGACCAUGAGUGUCCACGCUUCUAGCACUAAGUGCAAGGCCCUUCGUUGGCCCGCACGAUCUGUUCCGAGGACAGUGUCAGGCGGGGAGUUUGACUGGGGCGGUACAUCUGUCAAAUGGUAACGCAGGUGUCCUAAGGCGAGCUCAGCGAGGACAGAAACCUCGCGUAGAGCAAAAGGGCAAAUGCUUGCUUGAUCUGGAUUUCAGUACGAUUACAGACGCGAAGCGGGGCCCUCGAUCCUUUGACUUUA